GUAAUGUGUGAUAACGCAAUGACAUACGUACGCCAGCCGGGGUCAAACCCGCGUUUUUUAAAAUGGAGAAGCAGGCACUCAGUGGUUCAGCGAAAAGAAAACAAAAGAAACAAAAAAGAAGCCAAAGAUGCUGCUUUGGUGCAACAAAUACCAUCCACCUCAACAUUGUUUCACCAGAAAACCGAGGCAAGAUGAUGGUACUCAAAACAGCGGAGCCAGGACUACACCUCACCGCUCAGACUACAAGCAGGAUGCUAACGCUGCUAGCUCAAGUUCACCGGAGACGUUUGGUCGUGGUAAAGCGGCACCGCCUCCUAUGGACACCGUCCGGACCAGAACUAUGGCGGACAGCAGCCAACGGACAACGGCAGCCUGACCUUCGUCUGAUCACAUCGCUAGCGGAGGAUGAGGCGGCGGAGAACGGUCGUUUUCGCAAAAUGACCAGGAUAAAAAAUGAACUUCGGACAAAAAUGACCCAGAGACGCCUGAACAGUCUGUCACUCAUGACCAUAGAAGCCGAACUGGUCCGGGAGUUGGAGUUUGAUGACAUUAUCCAGGACUUUUUUUUUUAUCGAGGAAGGCCAGAAAAAGAUGAUGCAGAUUCUGUCCAGCACACACUCUGGAGACUCCUGAUGUGUGUGUGUGUGUGCAAGGAUGGUCGGCAGAUUGGUCAAUGGCAGGGCCGUACAACUGGAUGCCACGGUCUACACUUACAUGGUUUAUCUGUGGCAGAGGAACCGCACAUCACACUAAAAGUAAGAAAUAGGAGGAGAGACAGAGAGCGGGAAGACAGAGAUGCGCGCUAUUAGCGGAUUUGCUUCCACUUCUUCCUGGCAGCCGGAAACAAGGAUCAAAUGAACCAUCUUUGACAUUUGCAAUCUGCCGCUGACAUCACGCAAAGUCUUGUAAGAAGGCCAUUAAAAUGGGCUGCUAGCUGUCAUUUCCACCGCUGCAUCAGCCGCUGUCUGUGCAAGAGGAAGUACAGAAAAAGAAGUGCAAACAGAGAGAGAGAGAGAAGCGGCUGUGAAGGAAGCCAAAGACGCUGCCAAAGACGCAGCAAAAACAAACACCAAGAAAAUGGGAGAGACGGAUACAGAUGAAACAGACGGAGAGAAAAACCGGACAAGACACUAGCAGACAAACAGAAGGAGCAGGCAGGUGCUACUGCCACAUUUGGACAGAGAAACCAAACCAGAAGUACACGCCAAUCACACUGUUUGCUUUGGAGGGAACUGCCUCUUCCCAAAUUUUAACUUGCAGAAACUCACUUUGUUUUCUAGAAUGAUGCAUUUUCAUAAAGUAUAUCUCAUGUCCUGUCGGCAGAUCAUUAAAGCAAAGAAGGCCAAAUAAUUUUUUGCUCUUUUA